GGAACCACUGAGCUAAAUCCCCGUCCCAGAACUACUUUUCUUAAAACUUGGAACAGAUCAAUGAGAUACCGUUAUCAUUCCUGUUUUACAGCUUCUCAGAGUGCUGAGGUUUACUAGUGUGCAGCAACCGCCCCCCACCAAGCAGUCUCAUUUUUGUAUAGACUGCUCCCCACAAGGCCAGCAUAGUAUCUUGGAUAAAGGUCCUCACAGCAGAGGUGGAAAAGAGAAGGGAAAGAAGUCCCCUGCAAACUAAGCUUGCAGUCUGCGGUCAUCAAGAUUCGCCUGCAUCUUAACAUUGGCACCCAACCAAAUAUGAGUCUCUAAUUACUUUUAAAUGGAGAAGAUAGUUAAAAUUUGACAAGCAUAUAAACUUAACAGCUGACCUGCGGGCAAAAUUACUACCAAGCUGAUUUCUAACUGCCAGAAAAUUAGCCCCGGAGGUUGUUGUACCCCAGUAAAAUGAACUAAGGAUCAGGACGAUGUGACAGUUGUGAAGAUUAAGCCGCUACGCCCACAGGCGGAACGAAGUGUCUGUCCGGUUAAUGGAUACAGACACAAAGCAGGGAAGCAAGCCAUCCUCAUGCAUCCCUUGAAUCCUGUUUGGCUGUUCUGACGUAGAUGACAAGAAAAAGAAUCAGUUAGGGGAACGUAAGGUGCGGAACUACAAAAAUAAACUCGCUGUCCCUGACAUCUGUGUUUACAAAUGCGCUAUGUUAAACAGCAGAGAUUUCCCCUAUGUUAGCCAAUAAC